CAAGGGCGGACUACCUUGACCUGCUAAGUCAAUACCCCAGAACUAAAACUCUGGCC
rnacentral:tRNA from 1 species